AUGCACGCUGGCGGCGUGCCUAAUACAUGCAAGUCGAGCGAACGGACGAGAAGCUUGCUUCUCUGAUGUUAGCGGCGGACGGGUGAGUAACACGUGGAUAACCUACCUAUAAGACUGGGAUAACUUCGGGAAACCGGAGCUAAUACCGGAUGAUAUUUUGAACCGCAUGGUUCAAAAGUGAAAGACGGUCUUGCUGUCACUUAUAGAUGGAUCCGCGCUGCAUUAGCUAGUUGGUAAGGUAACGGCUUACCAAGGCAACGAUGCAUAGCCGACCUGAGAGGGUGAUCGGCCACACUGGAACUGAGACACGGUCCAGACUCCUACGGGAGGCAGCAGUAGGGAAUCUUCCGCAAUGGGCGAAAGCCUGACGGAGCAACGCCGCGUGAGUGAUGAAGGUCUUCGGAUCGUAAAACUCUGUUAUUAGGGAAGAACAUAUGUGUAAGUAACUGUGCACAUCUUGACGGUACCUAAUCAGAAAGCCACGGCUAACUACGU
rnacentral:rRNA from 1 species